CGGGGAUAUAAAUAUAAGACGAGAAGACCCCAUGGAGCUUUAAACCUGACAACACCCAUUUAUCUUUUACCCUAGUAUUCAUUAGGCCCUGUUUGUUUGGUUUUAGGUUGGGGUGACCACGGAGUAUAAAAUAACCUCCAAGAAAAAUGGACCAACAAUCCUUAUCAAAGAACUACAAUUCUAUGAAUUAAUAAAUUAAUUUUUAAUGACCCGAUAUUUAUUCGAUCAACGAACCAAGUUACCCUGGGGAUAACAGCGCAAUCCACUUUAAGAGCCCAUAUCGACAAGUGGGUUUACGACCUCGAUGUUGGAUCAGGGUAUCCUAGUGGUGCAGCAGCUACUAACGGUUCGUUUGUUCAACGAUUAAAACCCU
rnacentral:rRNA from 1 species